UUUCUAAAAUGUUUUGUAUAUUUCAGAUGUUCCUUCAGAGUUGAAGAUAAUUUACCCCCUAGUCCAAGCCUUCCACAGGACGACGUGGCAUGGGAUAGGGCAGGUUUUGAACCCGGAACCAUCGAUAAAUCCGAACGACGGUUCAGCAAACCACACGACCAGGCAGCCAUAAUUUUAGAUUUGGAUGGCCUUGUUUUCGUUUUUAUCAUUUCGGCUUCCAUGUUAAGUCUGACUUUGGUCAAUUUGUUUCGUCCACUGACUUUGGUCCACUUGUUUCGUCCACUGACAUUGGUCAACUUGUUUCGUCCACUGACUUUGGUAAACUUGUUCCGUCCACUAACUUUGGUCAACUUGUUUCGUCCACUGACAUUGGUCAACUUGUUUCUUCCAUUGACUCUGGUCAACUAGUUUCGUCCACUGACUUUUGUCAACUUGUUCCGUCCACUGACUUUGGUCAACUUGUUUCGUCCACUGACAUUGGUCAACUUGUUUCUUCCAUUGACUCUGGUCAACUAGUUUCGUCCACUGACUUUUGUCAACUUUUUUCGUUCACUGACUUUGGUUAACUUGUUUCGUCCACAGACUUGGGUCAACUUGUUUCGUCGAUUGACUUUGGUCAACUUGUUUCGUCCACUGACAUUGGUCAACUUGUUUCUUCCAUUGACUUUGGUCAACUUGUUUCGUCCACUGACAUUGGUCAACUUGUUUCUUCCAUUGACUUUGGUCAACUUGUUUCGUCCACAGACUUUGGUUAACUUGUUUCGUUCACUGACUUUGGUCAACUUGUUUCGUCCACUGACUUUGGUUAACUUGUUUCGUCCACAGACUUUGGUCAACUUGUUUCGUUCACUGACUUUGGUUAACUUGUUUCGUCCACUGACUUUGGUCAACUUGUUUCGUCCACAGACUUUGGUCAACUUGUUUCGUUCACUGACUUUGGUUAACUUGUUUCGUCCACUGACUUUGGUCAACUUGUUUCGUCCACUGACUUUGGUCAACUUGUUUCGUCCACUGACUUUGGUCAACUUGUUUUAUCUAGCAUUAGGAUAUGUCCCCCGAUUUUCAUAUUAUUAUACGAUGUUCGGUCACCAAUUCACCAACUGGACGAGUGCUUGUGCGAUAAAUUACUCUCUGUGAUCUCUAUGAUCUCUAUGAUCUCUAUGAUCUCUAUGAUCUCUAUGAUCUCGGUAUGUUAUUCGUAAAAUCCUUCUUUGCCAUCUUGGUUGAACCACGUUUAAUCUCUUUUCCAUAUUUCUAGUUAAACUUUCAUGUCUCGCAAGCGUAGAAAGCCUUUAGGACGAGGACACCUAUCAAUUGAAGAGGCGGAUCAUGGUUUCCAGACUGACCCAAGUUUUGAAAUUUUCUUUGUGUUUUUAUGUGUGAUAUCCGUUCGCCCCCUUCCUCGAUGAUAUUGUGGCCCCAUUCGUCCACUCCACCAUCCUAACCCUUUGACUCCCCUUCGUUGCUCCGCACCUACCCCCCCCCCCCUCUCUCUGAUUCACUAUAUUCUAGUUUUCACUGUUCUCUUCUCGUUGUACGAGGCGUUACAUCCGAGUUAACUAGCAAGGAUGCAUGUAUGUUGAUUUAGAGAUGACUCUUCUUCAGCGUUAGUUGUUCGUCUCUCUGUUGGUAUGUACAGUUAUGACAUUGCAUACUCAGCACAGUAAAGAAACAAAACCAUGUGAUAAAGAAGGUGGCAGUUGUCAUGACUAAAAACACCUAUUUCAACAGAUUCAAACGUUUUUGAAUCACAAUUGUA